GGCCCGCACAAGCAGCGGAGCGUGUGGUUUAAUUCGAUGUUACACGAAGAACCUUACAGGGUUUGACAUGCAAGUGGUAGGAAGCCGAAAGGUGACCGACCCUUCGGGGAGCUUGCACAGGUGCUGCAUGGCUGUCGUCAGCUCGUGUCGUGAGAUGUUCGGUUAAGUCCGCUAACGAGCGCAACCCUCGCUGUGUGUUAUAUGUGUCACACGGGACUGCCGGUCUUAAGCCGGAGGAAGGUGGGGAUGAUGUCAAGUCAGCAUGGCCUUUAUAUCCUGGGCUACACACACGCUACAAUGGCCAACACAAUAGGUUGCUAAGCCGCGAGGUGGCGCCAAUCCAUAAAGUUGGUCUCAGUUCAGAUUGUAGGCUGCAACCCGAGAGCAUGAAGUCGGAAUCGCUAGUAAUCGCAGGUCAGCAUACUGCGGUGAAUACGUUCCCGGGGCUU
rnacentral:rRNA from 1 species